UUCUUAUCAAGAGAGGCGGAGGGACUGGCCCUUUGAUGCCUCGGCAGCGGACUCGUAUUUAGAGUGCUGUGCCAAAUCCAGCAAGCAUGUGCUUGAAAGAUGAGAA
rnacentral:ncRNA from 2 species